rnacentral:rRNA from 1 species
GGCGAACGCUGGCGGCGUGCUUAACACAUGCAAGUCGAACGAGUGGCGAACGGGUGAGUAAUACGUGAGUAACUGCCUGUUAGAGGGGGAUAACUAUUGGAAACGAUAGCUAAUACCGCAUACUAGUAGAUGGACCUGCGUUGUAGUAGCCAGUAGGUAGGGUAAUGGCCUACCUAGGCAACGAUACAUAGCCGACCUGGGAGGGGGGUAUGCCAAAAGUGGAAUGAGACACCGGCCAGACUCCUACGGGAGGCAGGAGGAAGAGAUCUUCGGGAAUGGGGGGAACCCUGACCGGGGAAAGCCGCGUGAGUGAAGAAGGGUUUCGGAUCGUAAAGCGCUGGUGUUGAGGAAGCGGUACUUAACCAGAAAGGGACGGCUAACUACGUGCCAGCAGCCGCGGUAAUUC